UCUAUUUUUGCAUUGCAACACUACUUCAAAUGUCAAAGUUGACUGUCAGAUUGAAGUCAUCAUACGCGCUGCGCGUUGUAGCUAUUUUUGUUGAUUUUUAACUUUUUAACAACGUUUAUUGUUAGGAAUAGCAUUUACAUGUGUUAUUUAGACAUAUUUCUUUUUAUUAAACUCAACAUAUGGUGCUAAACUUGCUCUAGUAACAGUUGCAACAGCGAAAACGAAUCGUCAUUGUUGUUGGUGCAAAUAUUUUUAAUAUUAUAAGUGGCUAUAGGCUUUGUGGUUCAAUAUGUGUUCAAAAUAGUAAUAAUAUUUUACGAUAAAUCUUACAAACGCUAUUUUAAAGAGUGAAACUAUUGUUAAACGUGGACGGAUCUACUUUGCCAUAAUAAGAUGGAAUAUGUACAAAACCCUGCAAUAAAGAGGCCAACACACAUGUUAGAGAGUAAGCGACAACGAGACAACAUGAAUAACGAAAUGUCUUCAAGCUCCAGUGAAAACGGCACUCCUACACAUGACCCCAUUGCGAAGUUCAAUAAGUUCUACAAAUCUCAGUACAACGAUGCUGCUGUAUCUGAUAACGAAAUCCUCGAGGCACCAAGGAAAACAAACAUGUCCAGAGGUCACUUCAAAAGCAUGGGAAACAUCAACGAGAACUUCAGAGCAAAAGACUUCAAUCGCAACAUGAAAUCUGUACAAAAUAGCAUAAGCAACAUAGACUUAAGUCUGCACCGGGAGGAAAUUAAAAAGUAUGAGUCGUUACAAAUUCCUAUCGUUGGUUAUGAGGUUAUGGAGGAACGAGCAAGGUUUACUAUAUACAAGUUGAAAGUAGAAGAUGAUAAACGGGAUCAAUCCUGGCUUGUGUUCCGUCGUUAUACAGACUUUGUGAGGUUGUACUCCAGAAUCAAAGCUGAGCAGCCGAAUUUGAUGCUUCCAUUACCAGGUAAGCGUUGGUUUAGAGAUAACUUUGAACCUGCAUUCCUAGAAGAACGAGUGAGAGGCUUACAAAUCUUCGUGAAUGCUAUUUUGAGUAAGCUACCAAAUCAUCCCGUUGUCCGUGAGUUUUUCUGCAUGGAUGAGCCUCCACAAGUAUUUAGUUAUCAACCGGAGGUCCAAGCUGUAUACGGGGCCUUAGAGGACUCGAUAACGACUCUGAAAAUGCAAUUGAAGCAGAAAGAUGCAACGAUUAUGCAUUUGCAGAAACGUUUAGCUCAGCUUGAGGGUGUAGUGAAGAAUUGUCAAAGUUGCAGUACAAAUUCAAACAUGAACUCAAUGUGAUUCAAAGUGAUUUAAAUUCAAAAUGUAUUACUUUAGUUUAUUUUCAACUGAAAUGUAAUGAGAGUCAUUCCAUGCAUGAUUCUAACAAUAUUAACAUUGGUGCUAAUUACUCUAGACCAUCUAAUUUUAUUUUAAGUUAUACCUGAUCUUUUCUUAUCCGCCGAAAAGGAAAGGACGGGCAUAAAAUUUAUGUAACACGUCAAUUUUAGGCACAAAUCUAAAACAACCCGCAACGUUUUACAUUCGACACUAAAAGAAAUAUAUUGUUCAUUCAUUCACUCAUUCAUUUUAAAAUUAACAGCUGUCAAUGAUCUGCCCCUUUUCUUUUCGGCGGAUAAGAAAAUGACAGGUAUAACUUAAAAUAAAAUUAGAUCGUGCCUGCGAGAAUUAGCACUAUUAUCGAUAUAUCCUUAGCUUAAUAACAGGACAGAAAUAUAGUAAAUAAACAUAGUGAGAAAGAGACAAGAGAUAUGUCACUCCAACCAGUUAACAGUGGCAGCCCUAGUGACAAAGACACUGGCUCAUUUUUUUAUGUCAAAUUGUUCUUUCGUGUACUCUGAUCAUGUCUGCCUAAAGGUAAUAGAAAUAAAGCUCUUUUUACAUAUUUUUUCCAAUGUAGGAACUUUCCCGAAAAUGGUACAUCACUGUAGACUACCCUUACCCCGAUAUCGACCCCGCUGGCGUGGUCGACGAUUUCCCUCAUUCAGCGCUUAUCGCUAUCGACCCACUAGGGUCGAUUAAUCCUUUCAAAUAUUCUUCCGCUCAGACGACGCCCUGAUCCGAGGUUCGCGCCCAACUGUUGUACCGGGUGAGAGCCUUCAGCGCUCCCCAUUUGUCCUGCUAGUAAGUAGUUAACUAGGUAUAUUUCGGUGGACGUAAACUAAUCGAAAAAAACUGUAUUGUGAGGCCUCGCACCACCUAAAUAUUUUGCUAGGGACGCCACUGUUGAGAGUCUGUCCGUUUCUCAAGUAAGAAGUGAUGAGUAAUACAAAAGUAUCGUAAUUAUUGAAGAUCGUUGAUCUUUAUUUUUUGUUCUGUAUGUAGAGCACAGUUCUCUCUAAUAAAUAUUAAAAUAUGUAAAUUAUUUAUAAGAAAGCAAUAAUUAGUGCAUUUUAUUUGGUAGCUGUGCUAAUGUUAAAUUUAUUUUAAGUUUACAAGUGAAUGUGUGUGCUACUUUGUAGACCUACUUGAUUUUGGGUGAAUUUUUGUGAUUCCGGUGGACAUAAUUCAGUGGCGAUUUUUUUUCAUGUAUUUCUAAAGUGUUCGUUACAAAUAAGUAUCUAAAAUGACGAUACGACCAGUGCUGCCAAUGUAAAAUUUUAAGUUCCCUUUCGCAACAGGCUUAAUUCCCCGAAUUUCCCCACAACUUUUAGGCUAAUUCUUCGCCGUGAUAAUUACAUAGAAAUAGGACAAAUAUAUAUAUGUAUUACAUGAAGGCAAGAGGGAAACCACUGCCCUAUUUUUCCCUAUAAAAGUAGCAUGGAAAAUGCUGCACCGACAAGAGCGUGGCUCUUAAAUUGAUGAUGAUAUAUUACAUAAUUCUUCUAAGUGACAAAUACAACUUAAAAAACAAAGCUUAUGAACUAAACUAUUAAGUGCGCAUUACUUUUUCCAAAUUUUUGCCUUCAGCAUGUUACUGCUGGGUUGAAACGUUAAUCAUUUUCCUGCAUUAGAUAUCCCUUGCCCUUAUUAUUGCAACAAUGGUAUUGUUAAGACUUCCUCAAUAUUCAUAUUCAUUUAUUGCAUGUCACAAACAUAAAUUAAGCUGGAACAUAGUAAAAAGGUACAUGUGGCGCCCUGCAAGGCACGGCAAUAUAAAAGAGGCGACACUAGGUGCCUUAUUAUAAUAAUAUACUUGAAAAAUACAGAAAACACAUUUAUUGACCCAUUGUCAAAUUUUUCGUGAAUUAACCAAACCCUGCCUUGUCCCCGCACUACCCCUCCAUACCCCGCAAAUCGGCAAAUUCCCCGCCAAUUGGCAGCACUACAUAAGGGUUGACCUACCUGCGCAAUCCUUGUGUUGUAUUGUUGAAGAAAUAUUUGGGCCACCGAAUUUACGGUAAAUUUACCCUUUUGUUAUUAUGGCAACACUAAAAACAUACCCCGUUUUUCAUUGUUAAACAAAGUAGGUGCAGGUUAGUUUGAAAGAAUAUAAAUAAGACGAGUGUCGAAAAAAUGUUUUUUAUAAUUAAUCUGAUAAAUGUACAAGCAAUAUCGAUGUGUGUGCCUUAGAUAAUAAUGUGUAAUGUAAUAAAUAAAUGCAUUGGCAGCCUUAUAAAUAUAACUUUGAAGACUUUUUCGUGCUGGUAACAUUGAAAAAAGUUUGUGCGUUGUAAUUGGCUAGUAUAAAUCAAUGUUGCCAGGUGAGAUUCGUAAAAAAGAUUUAGAUAUAUAUACUUAUAUAUAUAGUCACUGGAAAGGCAAAAUUACAUGAGCGCCGGUAAAUCCUAAAACAGCAGUUCAUGUUAUAAUAUGUAUUGCUAGAUAUAGAAAAUGGAAAAAUAAUGGUGCUGAUUCUAGAAUACACCAUCUCCCUAGUAUUAUCCCGUUUUUCACAGGGUCAACUUCCGUAACCUGAAGAUUUGACAGGACGGGUUUUUUUACAGAAGCGACUGCCUGUCUGACCUUCCAAGCCGCGAAGGGAAAACCAGUCCAAUACAGGUUAGGUCAUAUACCGAAAAUGCAUUUCACGGGUAUGUAUGUGGGUUUCCUCACGGUGUUUUCCUUCACCCCUGUUUUCACGACGUUUUCUAGAACACACCAUCUAAUUUUUUUUAAGUUAUACCUGUCAUUUUCUUAUCCGCCGAAAAGGAAAGGGACGGAUAAUUGACAGGCAUAAAAUUUAUAGAACACACGUCAAUUUUAGGCAGAAAUUAAAAAAAAACCCUUUCCAGUGACAAUAUAGACGAUGUAUAUUUGGGACCAUAGUACAAAAUAUAUUUCAGUUGAAUGAAGUAAUCUUAGUAAGCUAUAAGAUUAUUUUCUGUCAUAUUUUUGCAUUUAAAUGUAACAACAAUUUUCUGAGUAUAGCCUUCAAUAUUAGUGUUGAUUUUGACGUUCGAAACUUUAUUUUAUUUUGACAGCUCUAGAUGUUAAUGCCUUCUCUUUUAUUUGUUUCAUAAAUGUCCUCCUAGGUCUAUCCCUCCCUCAAAUAAAAGAAAAGGUGCAGAUCGUGUCGUAUCAGGAGGUGAAGGUUUUGGCGGGAAGAAGAGAGGAAUGGCGAUUACUCCACCGACAAGAGCGCAGCUCUUAAAUAAAGAGAAAGAGGUGUAAUGCCAUCCCUUUCUUACAUUGAGUGCAAGAAAGUGAUAGAGCUAGUUUUGGAACUGUCAAAUUGGAAUAAAGUUUGCAUGGGUGGAUACGGGGGGGGGGGGGGGGGUGACUUCCCCCAGGGCGACAGGUUGGGUCAUGGGUGGCCUCAGCAAUUAAUGUUAUCUAAUCCUCAAUGGAGUUAGGUUGUCUGCGACCUGGUUACACCCCCACCCCCCGGCAUAAAAGCUGGAUCCGCUCCUGAAAGUUUGGUGCUGAUACCAGUACAUACCAUCUAAUUUUAUUUCAAGUUAUACCUGUCAUUUUCUUAUCCGCCGAAUAAGAGGGAUGUAAUCGACAGGCAUAAUUUAUGGAACACACGUCAAUUUUAGGCAGAAAUUUUAACAACCCUCCAAAAGGUUACAUAGGCCAAUAACCCGACAUAAAUACACAUUGACAGUACACGUCAAACGGGUUGCAUACCAGCGAGAUGCCUAUUUGAUUCGCCAGGGUUAUUCAUUCAUUCACUCAUUCAUUUUAAUAUAAACGGCUGUCAGACACACGUCCCUUUCCUUUCCGGCGGAUAAGAAAAUGACAGGUAUAACUUAAAAUAAAAUUAAGAGGUGUGUUCAGGAAUCAGGAUAUUUCGUGUAGAUUUAAUUUAACCAUUACGAUGGUGUUAUAGUGAGUUUCAAUAUUUACAAGUUGUUUUCUAUACUAAAAGUAUAAAAAUGUACCUUUGUGUAAUUUUUAAGUGUUAUAAAUAAAAAGUA
rnacentral:misc_RNA from 1 species